CAAUGGGGAGGCCUAGAUGCUAGCCCCACAUGAGAGAGGGAAGGAUUUCAGGCCCAAGGCCCAAGUGGGGCAGGAAGAAGCACACGCUCACCUCAGUUGCCUUCUUUGCUGAGGGCGCACUGUCCAGCACGCCGGCAGACAGACCCAGAUCAGAAGGCCUGGACUUGGUACGUGAACG